rnacentral:lncRNA from 1 species
AGGGCGGGUCCGCGGCCGCCAGGUGAGCCCGCCCCGGUAGCCCCGCGCGUGGUCCGGUCGGCAGAGGCUUGGCGAGCCGCCAUCCCGCCCCUGCCCCAGGCCCACCUUCCCCCACCGCCCAGGCCCCGCUGGCCUCCCCGGCUCAUCUCGCACCCGGCGCAGACCCCAUGCCCUCCCGUCUCGGCAGCGCCCCCCGCUUCGCCUCCCGGUCCGGCCCCAGCUCGACGGGCGGAACCGGGUGCGCACAGCAGCCCCGCGCCCUGGCCCAGGGCCAGCGGGUUAACGCUUAACUACGCUCCAGGAGCUGUAGGCUCCAGCCGCGCCUCGAGUCCCCAACCUUUGGCCCCGGAAGCCAAAAAGAGGAGCGGACGGUGAAGGAGUCAGGGAUAAUGUGAGUUGAUGCUGGCUGAGAUCUGCUCCGAUGAGGGUUUGAAAGAGAGAGCUCCGGGUGUCAAAGUCAGUGGAUGGCAAAACAUGCCUGGAGGGAGCAACCAGGCAUCCAACCACAGGCCCUGGGCUGGAGGGCGGGGGGGGGGGGGGGUGGAAGCAGAGGAAGGAGAGAGAAGGAAAUUUGGGAGGAAGAGUGGGCACGAACUGGCUGCCCAAUUGUGUGGGUGGGUAGGUGGCAGGGAGGGACUGGUUGUUCUGGGUCUGCCCCUCCGGCCCCACCACACCUGCUUCCAGGUGAGCUUAGGAAUUUCCCAGGCUUCCUCCCAGCUGGAGCCAGACGUGUCCCUCAGAGGCCCCAGCCCUGCCCAUCCUUUCCUGCCCUACCCAGGGCUUCUCUACCUUCUUGGCUUGGCCUGCUCCUUGUUCACACCUUGGUAAAUGACCCUUCACAAAAGUCAUUUUCUCUAUUUGUGCUUUUCUUUCUUUUGCCAGGACGCUUGACUUUCUCGACAGGGAGGGGGAGGCAAGCCUGGUGCCCAGUGCUCUGCCUGCACUGGUCAGUGCGCGUGGCUGUCACUUGGCUGGGAAGCUAGGCCAGGAGAGCAGCUGCAGCUGUGGAGGUCGGCAGUUGAGAGGUGGAGAGACCUGAGCACACUUGGGCCAGUCGUCCCGUGGCAUUUGGGAGCCCAGGACCGAGCCGGGGGGCAAGUGUGGGCAAUGCUUGGAGCCACAGAGUGGGGGUAGGGAAUUGGAGGGGUAGAGAGGACAACUCAAACCAAGCCAGGAACCCACAGAGGAGACCAGGAAAGGAAAACCAAGAAGGAGUGAGUCCCCAAUGCCCCCAAAUUGAUCCAUAUAUUGAAUGAUCCCCAGUAAAAGUAGCUCCAUGAUGAUUCCAAAGCCCUUAGGAAACUAAAGGUGCCAGGAGAAUGAAUAGACACGUCUCCAUAGAAGACACACACUGGUCAACAAGUACAUGGGAAAUGUCCAGCAUCCUCCAGGAAAUGCAAAGCAAAACCACAGUGAGAUCCCACCUCCCACCCGCUGGGACUGGGCAGAUGCAGUCCUGGCAAACCAGUCUUGGUGAGGAGCGGGGGUAUCAGAGCCCUGCUGCACUGAGAUACACACACACAAAAUGGAAUAGUAUUCAGUCUUAAAAAGGAAAGAAAUUCCAGUACUGGCUGCAACUUGGAUGGACCCUGAGGAUCCUAUGCUGAGUUAAAUAAGCCAGUCACAGAAGAACACGUACCAUACAAUCCCACUUAUGUGAGGUCCCUAGAGUAGUCACUUUCAUAGAGAUAGUAGCUGACAGGAGGAGCAUGGGGAGUGACUGUUUAAUGAAUACAGACUUGAAAUUUGGGAAGAGGUAAAAGUUCUGGAGAUGGAUGGUGGUGAUGGGUGGUGAUGAUGGACAUUGGAGAUGGGCAAUGGACAUGGAUGGUGGUGAUGGAUGGUAUAAAUGGAUAUUGGAUGUGGACAGCGGACGUGGACAGUGGAGAUAGAGGGUGGUGAUGGCUGGUGGACAUGGACAGUGAAGAUAGAGAGUAGUGAUGGAUGGUGGAGAUAGAGGGCGGUGAUGGACAGUGGAGAUAGAGGGUGGUGAUGGACAGUGGAGAUAGAGGGUGGUGAUGGACAGUGGACAUGGACAGUGGAGAUAGAGGGUGGUGAUGGACAGUGGAGAUAGAGGGUGGUGAUGGACAGUGGACAUGGAUAGUGGAGACAGAGGGUAGUGAUGGACAGUGGAGAUAGAGGGUGGUGAUGGACAGUGGACAUGGACAGUGGAGAUAAAGGGUGGUGAUGGACAGUGGAGAUAGAGGGUGGUGAUGGACAGUGGAGAUAGAGGGUGGUGAUGGACAGUGGAGAUAGAGGGUGGUGAUGAACAGUGGAGAUAGAGGGUAGUGAUGGACAGUGGACAUGGACAGUGGAGAUAGAGGGUGGUGAUGGAUGGUGGACAUGGACAGUGGAGAUAGAGGGUGGUGAUAGACGGUGGACAUGGACAGUGGACAUGGACGGUGGGGACAGAGGGUGGUGAUGGACGGUGGACACAGACGGUGGAGAUAGAGGGUGGUGAUGGACGGUGGACACGGACAGUGGAGAUAGAGGGUGGUGAUGGACAGUGGAGAUAGAGGGUGGUGAUGGUCAGUGGAGAUAGAGGGUGGUGAUGGACGGUGGAGAUAGAGGGUGGUGAUGGACAGUGGACAUGGACAGUGGAGACAGAGGGGGUGAUGGACAAUGGACAUGGACAGUGGAGAUACAGGGUGGUGAUGGACGGUGGACAUGGACAGUGGAGACCGGGGGUGAUGAACAGUGGACAUGGACAGUGGAGAUAGAGGGUGGUGAUGGACAGUGGACAUGGACAGUGGAGAUAGAGGGUAGUGAUAGACGGUGGACAUGGAUAGUGGAGAUAGAGGGUGGUGAUGGACGGUGGACAUGGACAGUGGAGAUAGAGGGUGGUGAUGGACGGUGGACAUGGACAGUGGAGAUAGAGGGUGGUGAUGGAUGGUGGACAUGGACAGUGGAGACAGAGGGUGGUGAUGGACGGUGGAGAUAGAGGGUAGUGAUGGACGGUGGACAUGGACAGUGGAGACGGAGGGUAGUGAUGGAUGGUGGACAUGGACAGUGGAGACAGAGGGUAGUGACGGACGGUGGACAUGGACAGUGGAGACAGAGGGUAGUGAUGGAUGGUGGACAUGGGCAGUGGAGGUGGAGGGUAGUGAUGGACGGUGGACGUGGACAGUGGAGAUGGAGGGUAGUGAUGUACAGUGGACAUGGACAGUGGAGAUAGAGAGUGGUGAUGGACAGUGGAGAUAGAAGGUGGUGAUGGACAGUGGAGAUAGAAGGUGGUGAUGGACAGUGGACAUGGACGCUGGAGAUAGAGGGUGGUGAUGGACAGUGGAGAUAGAGGGUGGUGAUGGAUGGUGGACAUGGACAGUGGAGAUAGAGGGUGGUGAUGGAUGGUGGACAUGGAUAGUGGAGUUGAAGGGUGGAGAUGGAGGGUGGUGAUGGAUGGCGGUGAUGGAGGGUGGAGAUGGAGGGUGGUGAUGGAGGGUGGAGGGUAGUGAUGGACAGUGGAGAUGGAGGGUGGAGAUGGUGGGUGGUGAAGGAGGUUGGUGAUGGAGGGUGGUGAUGGGGGGUGGAGAUGGAGGGUGGUGAUGGAUGGUGGAGAUGGAGGGUAAAAAUAGUUGGUGGUGAUGGAGGAUGGAGAUGGAGGGUGGAUGGAGGGUGGAGAUAGAUGGUGGUGAUAGAGGGUGGUGAUGGAGGGUGGAGAUGGUGGGUGAUGAUGGAGGGUGGUGAUGGAUGGUGGAGAUAAAUGGUGGUGAUGAAGGGUGGAGAUGGAGGGUGGAGAUGCAGGGUGGAAAUGGAGGGUGGUGAUGGACAGUAGAGAUGAAUGGUUGUGAUGGAUGGUGGAGAUGGAGGGUGGAAAUGGUGGGUGGUGAUGGAGGAUGGAGAUGGAGGGUGGAUGGAGGGUGGAGAUGGUGAGUGGUGAUAGAGGGUGGAGAUAAAUGGUGGUAAUGGACAGUGGAGAUGGACAGCGGAAAUGGAGGGUGGAGAUGCAGGGUGGAAAUGGAGGGUGGUGAUGGACAGCGGAGAUGAAUGGUAGUGAUGGAUGGUGGAGAUGGAGCAUGGAAAUGGUGGGUGGUGAUGGAGGAUGGAGAUGGAGGGUGGUGAUGGAGAGUGGUGAUGGAUGGUGGAGAUGAAUGGUGGUGAUGGACGAUGGAGAUGGAGGAUGGAGAUGGAGGGUGGAUGAAGGGUGGAGAUGGAAGAUAGUGAUGGAGGGUGGUGAUGGAUGGUGGUGAUGGAGGAUGGAGAUGGAGGGUGGAUGGAGGGUGGAGAUGGUGAGUGGUGAUGGAGGGUGGAGAUAAAUGGUGGUAAUGGACAGUGGAGAUGGACAGUCGAAAUGGAGAGUGGUGAUGGAUGGUAGUGAUGGAUGGUGGAGAUGGACAGCGGAGAUGAAUGGUGGUGAUGGAUGGUGGAGAUGGAGCGUGGAAAUGGUGGGUGGUGAUGGAGGAUGGAGAUGGAGGGUGGAGAUGGAGGGUGGUGAUGGAGGGUGGAGAUGAAUGGUGGUGAUGGAUGGUGGAGAUGGAGGAUGGAGAUGGAGGGUGGAUGAAGGGUGGAGAUGGAAGGUGGUGAUGGAGGGUGGUGAUGGAUGGUGGAGAUGAAUGGUGGCGAUGGACGGUGGAGAUGGAGGAUGGAGAUGGAAGGUGGUGAUGGAGGGUGGAGAUGCAGGGUGGAAAUGGAGGGUGGUGAUGGAUAGCAGAGAUGAAUGGUUGUGAUGGAUGGUGGAGAUGGAGGGUGGAAAUGGUGGGUGGUGAUGGAGGAUGGAGAUGGAGGGUGGAUGAAGGGUGGAGAUGAAUGGUGGUGAUGGACGGUGGAUGAAUGGUUGUGAUGGAUGUGGUGAUGGAGGGUGGUGAUAGACGGUGGAGAUGGAGGGUGGAGAUGGUGGGUGGUGAUGGAGGGUGGGGAUAAAUGGUGGUAAUGGACAGUAGAGAUGGACGGUGGAAAUGGAGGAUGGUGAUGGUUGUACAACAAUGUGAAUGCACUUGAUGUCACUCAACUGUUCACUUAAAAAUGGCAAACAUAGUAGUUUUUAUGUUACAUAUAUUUUACUACAAUAAAAAAAGAAUGAAAAGCCUAUAAAAUUCUGAAAAAUAAAAAAGGGGGCUUUAGCCCUGCCAGAGAGUAGAAUCCAUCAUAGAACAUCUUGCUAUGGGCAGUUGACUGGACACACACAUCAGAGCAGGUCUGUGUGAUCAUUUAGCAUAUGAUUAAUGGGGCAUUUAAAAUCCACGAGGGGCCGGGCGCAGUGGCUCACGCCCGUAAUCCCAGCACUUUGGGAGGCCGAGGCGGGUGGAUCACCUGAGGUCAGCAGUUCGAGACCAGCCUAACUAACAUGGGGAAACCCUGUCUCUACUAAAAAUACAAAAAAUAGCUGGGCAUGGUGGUGGGUGGCUGUAAUCCCAGCUACUGAGGUGGCUGAGGUGGGAGAAUCACUUGAACCUGGAAGCGGAGGUUGCAGUGAGCCAAGAUCGUGCCACUUCUCUCCAGCCUGAGCAACAAAGCGAGACUCUGUCUCAAAAAAUAAAUUAAUUAAUAAAUAAAUAAAUCCAUGAGGGAAAGGAUGUCAUUUAAAAAAGGGUGUGGCCAGGCACGGUGGCUCAUGCCUAUAACCAGCACUUUGGAGGCCGAGGCAGGUGGAUCACCUGAGGUCAGGAGUUUGAGACUGGCCUGGCCAGCAUGGUGAAACUCUGUCUCUACUAAAAAAAAAGGACAAAAUUAGCUGGAUGUGGUGGCGCAUGCCUGUAAUCCCAGCUACUUGGGAGGCUGAGGCAGGAGAAUCGCUUGAACCUGGGAGGCAGAGAUUGCAGUGAGCCUAGAUUACGCCAUUGUACUUCAGUCUGGGCAACGAGCGAAACUCCAUCUCAAAAAAAAUAAAAAUAAUAAUAAAAUAAUAAUAAAGGGUGGUGGAGCAACUGGGCGGCCUUGGUGUCUGGAAAAACAUGACGUUGGAUCCUGAUCCCACUCUUCACACGGAAAUAAAUUCCUUAUGGAGCGGAAAUAGAAAUGCAAAAACCCAAAACCACAAACAUAAUUUGGAAAAAACACAGGAGACUAUUUAAUGAUCUCAGGAUCCGGAAGGCUUUUCUGAGCACAACAAAAAAGCAGAAGCCACAGGGAACAUUGUUGAAAAAUUUAAUUAAAUUACAAAUGGCAACAUUUUGCCUAGACCACAUAUUUAAAAUCAAAGGAUGUGCAACAAACUGGGGAGAACCCAUGAUAACUCAGUGGUUAACAAAGGGCCGAUUCUCCCAACAAAGGGCUACUAUCAGUCAACGAGGAAAGGGCCAGGCCGCCGGACACGCUGCACAAAGGAAGCCCCAAUGGCUGCUGACUGCAAGAUGCUGAACCUCCGCCGUAAUCAGGGAUGAGCAAAUUGGCCCUACCGGAAGAUGGUAUUUUCACCUGUCAGACGUUUUCAUGAGAGACUGGGAUGGGAGGAGCGGGGAGACAGGCACUUCCCACAACUCCCAGCAGGAGUGUGAAUUUGGGGUGUCGGGGGAGGGGAUUUUGUUUCCACUAUAGCCUGGUACUGCUAGAAGGUUUUAAAUGAGGACACUAGCUGUACUAACAAUUACAAAAUUCGCAGUACUGUGUAGGGGAGAGAGGGUCGGGGGGGAGGGCAUGGGGCCCCCUACGCAAUGUGGUGGCGCCAAGGGAAUGCCUAGCGGGUCCCUUGGGCUUAAGGACAAGGAUGCCAAGGUUUUGGGGCCUGGCAGGCCGGAGUGGGUGCCUGGAGCUAGAGGUAGAAGGUGUAGGUGCCCCCUUCUGGGAACAAGGGGGUGAGAGGAGGGAGGGAAAAAGGGGUGCAGGGCGGGUCAGAGGGCUCCCUCCCCCCAACAGCUGACCCCCCAGCCCCAGCGCCCUGCUUUGCAGCCACGGCAUUCAGCAGCCUCCACCUGGGGCUGAGAUUGUGACCACCCUCAGGGACACGGGUUCAGGUCUGCUGUCUGCUGAACCUACGUUCUGCAGGAUUUGGUCCAGGGCUCUGGUGAAGAUGUAGGAGUUGGCCUGCGUCAGCGCCCGUCCCCGCUUUCCACAGCGAGCAAAGACCGUGGGAACCCUGAUGCCCCUUUGCAUUUGCGCUUCUGUACUUAGCUGCUAGUCUCAGGCAGUGAAAGCUUCAAGCCACCCGCAGAGCCCUGGAACUGGGGCAUUGGCUCUAGUGGGAAAAGGAGGCUUCCCACUGGCGACCCACCAUGACAGACCACAAAAGACAUGCAGGUCCCCACAGUCAGGCCCUGACACCCACUCUUCCUGCCUUCUUCUGCCUAGGCUUGCACAGCUGGGCAAGUGAGCGGGAGCCACGGGUUAGCUGAGAUCACCUGCGGCCAGGAACAGGGCCUUCCUGGAGGUGAGGACAAGCUCUGCUUCCUCCAGGAGCAGGUGCUGGAGCAGAGCGGCUCCCCCGUUCUACAAGUGUCCUCUGUGUGGCGGCCCAGGUCUGUGCGGGCCUGUCCAGCCCAGGAGAGGACAGAAGUCAUCUGUAGCCUGGGCCCCUGUGGCCCCCAGCGAGAGGCCCUGGUGGGACUGGUCUUUCUCAGCCUGUGCACCUGGGGCUGAAACAGGACUCAAAGAGGGAAAGUGGCCCAGGCAGGCCCUCCCCUCAGGCCUCCCCUCUCCCUGGCUGCUCUCCCAGGCUUCCCUGCUUUCCCUUCUGAGACCCCGACUACUGGACCCAGCCUUACUGCCAAGAUAAUUAUCCACAACAGCAGGAGCGCCCAGGCCCAUGAAGAUAAUCGCCUGCCCAGCACUGUGUCCACAUCCAGUUCAUCCCAGCUGAGACCCAAGUGCAGCUGAGGGGUGGGGGACACUCCUCAGCUCUCGAAUGAUGCCAACCCUCCAGGGCCUGGCUGGGAGCAGCUCAGUGCUUCCUGGCUCCGGGGCUGUGUUCCCUACGUCCCAUUCGGAGCUUCUCUCCUGAAGAAAACAGUGUCUGCCUGCACCCUUCUUAGAAAGCACCCUGACACGUGGCUACAAAGAGCAGAGAGCACAGUACCCUUCCCAGACACACACCAGCACCCCCACCCACUGCAUUUAAGCCACCACUGUCCCGCCGCAUUCAUCCCUCCUCUACCCCCUAAAUUCAUCUUUCAGUGGAACUCUGCGUUCAUCCCUCCACUCCCCGCUCCAUUCAUCCCUCCACUCCCUGCUCCAUUCACCCCUCCACUCCCCCCUCCAUUCACCCUUCCACUCCCCCCUCCAUUCAUCCUUCCACUACCCCCUAAAUUCAUCCUUCCACAGAACCCUGCGUUCAUCCCUCCACUCCCCGCUCCAUUCACCUCCACUCUCCCUCCAUUCACCCCUCCAAACCCCCCUCCAUUCACCCCUCCACUCUCCCCUCCCUUCACCCUCCACUCCCUGCUCCUUUCACCCCUCCACUCCCCCCCAUUCACCCUUCCACUCCCCCCUCCAUUCAUCCUUCCACUACCCCCUAAAUUCAUCCUUCCACAGAACCCUGCGUUCAUCCCUCCACUCCCCGCUCCAUUCACCUCCACUCUCCCUCCAUUCACCCCUCCAAACCCC